rnacentral:lncRNA from 1 species
UCGCCUAAGAAAUAGUUAUUGCUCGGUCAACAAUCGUAGCCAUCCAAUGAAGAUUUUCUUAUCCAUCGGACCCACAUUAAUCUUACAAAAAUCUCAAUGAUUGAAUCAAAAGGUUGGUAUCAUCGUUUAAGAAAUAGUUAUUCUCACUCGCCUAAGAAAUAUCAAAACCGUUUUAUAAAACAACCAAAGAUACCGGCAUGUCACCCUCACGCAGAUGUCGCUACUCGCUACUCACUAUGGGUAGUCUUCCCGAGGACAGAAUAGAUUCAUUCUCCGCGUCUCUCCUUGUUUCUUGCGAUGUGAGGCAUAGGCAACUCCAGUUGAAAUUCCGGUACUUUGGCUGCAAAGGUACACCAAAGUCCAUCGAGGAACAGCAAACAAGUAUACUAAGUACUAACCUGGAAAAUAAACAAUUAACCUGUCACAACUUGAGUUUUUACCUGGAAACUUACGGGUUGACCAUUGGCACCACAGUUAAGAAGCAAAGCUGAGAACAAGGAGAGGCCUAUAUAAGAGUAAGCGUAAGAGUAAUGGGAUGUGAUUCUCAACAAUCAGCACAAAUGAACUGUAAACCUUCCAGGCUCCAAGUAAUGGAGAAAGCACCUCGAGCCAUCCUCUUCCUGUUACUCAUUGUCGG